AAUACCGAAUCAGAAUAUAUUAUUAUAUUUAAAAAAUGUAUUAUAAUUACAAUAAUUUUAAAAAUGACCUUUCCAAAUCAAGUUGAUUUAAAUAAUAUAUCAAAAGUAAUCCAUUCUCAAAUCGAUAACUGAGUGUUCAAAUUGUAUAACCGGAAAUGAUGACAUCUAUCGGAAUUUUGUUGUAAUUAACAAUAUUACUAUACAGCCAACUUCAAGUAAUGUGAGCAAGCACGUCGGAGCAGACGAUUUCGCGUGCUUAAUGUUUAAAUUUUAAUAUUAUUUCGUUUAUUCUAAAAAUUUAAGAAAUAUAUUUAUAAUAACAAAAUGGCUGAUAAAGUAAACAAAGAAGCUGAAAGCUUGAAAGGUUUCUCAAAAUAUUUUAAUAGUGUGACCAUACAAGGACGAGCAAACGUAGCUAAAGCAACAUAUGCCCUUGUAGCUCUAAUUUCAGCUUACGUUUAUCUCAAACCAAAGAAAGCAGUGGCAAAAUAAGAAAAUGAAGACAUAUAAUCAUCUUAUAUAAUGAUUCUGUCUAUAAAUUAGGUGUGCUAUUUACUUAAUAAAAAUGUAGUAAACAAUU